rnacentral:rRNA from 5 species
GAACUUUCCAGAGAUGGAUUGGUGCCUUCGGGAACUGUGAGACAGGUGCUGCAUGGCUGUCGUCAGCUCGUGUUGUGAAAUGUUGGGUUAAGUCCCGCAACGAGCGCAACCCUUAUCCUUUGUUGCCAGCGAUUAGGUCGGGAACUCAAAGGAGACUGCCAGUGAUAAACUGGAGGAAGGUGGGGAUGACGUCAAGUCAUCAUGGCCCUUACGACCAGGGCUACACACGUGCUACAAUGGCGCAUACAAAGAGAAGCGACCUCGCGAGAGCAAGCGGACCUCAUAAAGUGCGUCGUAGUCCGGAUUGGAGUCUGCAACUCGACUCCAUGAAGUCGGAAUCGCUAGUAAUCGUGGAUCAGAAUGCCACGGUGAAUACGUUCCCGGGCCUUGUACACACCGCCCGUCACACCAUGGGAGUGGGUUGCAAAAGAAGUAGGUAGCUUAACCUUCGGGAGGGCGCUUACCACUUUGUGAUUCAUGACUGGGGUGAAGUCGUAACAAGGUAACCGUAGGGGAACCUGCGGUUGGAUCACCUCCUUACCUUAAAGAAGC